AGGUUGGCUGGUAAAGUGGCGGUCAUCACCGGCGCCGCGAGCGGCAUCGGCAAGGCGACGGCCGCGGAGUUCGUCAGGAACGGCGCCAAGGUCAUCCUCGCCGACGUGCAGGACGACCUGGGCCGCUCCGUCGCCGCGGAGCUCGGCGCGGACGCCGCCUACACCCGCUGCGACGUCUCGGACGAGGCGCAGAUCGCGGCGGCCGUCGACCUCGCCGUCGAGCGGCACGGCCACCUCGACAUCCUCUACAGCAACGCGGGCGUCUCCGGGUCCGCGUCCCAGGCCUCCGUGGGCGCGCUCGACCACGCCGACUUCGACCGCGUGAUGGCGGUCAACGCCCGGUCGGCCGUCGCGUGCAUCAAGCACGGCGCGCGCGUCAUGGCGCCGGGCCGUCGCGGCGGCUGCGUCCUCUGCACGGCCAGCGUCAUCGGCGUGCUCAGCUUCGGCUCCCCGAUCCUCGCCUACGCCGUCUCCAAGGCCACCGUCAUCGCCGCGGUGCGCGCGGCCGCGGGCCCGCUGGCGCGCGACCGGGUGCGCGUGAACGCCAUCUCGCCGCACGCCAUCGCAACGCCGCUCACGGUGCGGUCCAUGGCCGAGAUGUUUCCCGGCGCCGGCGAGGACACGCUGCGGCGGGUGGUGGAGGAGGACUGGAGCAAGCUGGAUGGCACCGUGCUGGAGGUGGAGGACGUGGCCAGGGCGGCGCUGUACCUGGCGUCGGACGAGGCCAGGUACGUGACCGGGCACAACCUCGUCGUCGAUGGUGGGUUCACCGCGUACAAGAGUGUCAGCAUGCCGUUCCUAUAG
rnacentral:rRNA from 1 species